rnacentral:lncRNA from 1 species
CUGCAGUCACCAAUAUAUUCAAUAACUCAAGCAAAGUAGCAUCGAUCUUAUUUAUAUGGUAGUUUAUGAUGAACUACCCAUAUGAAUCAGGAAGAGACUGGAGGAUCAGAUCCACCUAUAGUUUCUUGUCCAUAUUCAUUUUGAGCUUUUGAAGCUCCUCUAUGUCCUUGAUCAUUGUCAGACAAUGAUCAUUGAUAGACUGCCCAUCACUCAUCUUCACUCUGAA